AGUGGAGUAUGUGGUUAAUUCGAAGCAACGCGAAGAACCUUACCAGGUCUUGACAUCGAGUGACGAGCUAAGAGAUUAGCUCUUCCUUCGGGACACGAAGACAGGUGGUGCAUGGUUGUCGUCAGCUCGUGUCGUGAGAUGUUGGGUUAAGUCCCGCAACGAGCGCAACCCUUAUCAUUAGUUGCUACGCAAGAGCACUCUAAUGAGACUGCCGUGGAUAACACGGAGGAAGGUGGGGAUGACGUCAAAUCAUCAUGCCCUUUAUGACCUGGGCUACACACGUACUACAAUGGCACUCAAACAGAGGGAUGCAACGUCGCGAGGCGAAGCGGAACCCAAAAAAGUGUCUCAGUUCAGAUUGUAGGCUGCAACUCGCCUACAUGAAGUCGGAAUUGCUAGUAAUCGCAGAUCAGCAUGCUGCGGUGAAUACGUUCCCGGGCCUU
rnacentral:rRNA from 1 species